AUGUUCACGUGUCGCUUGAAAGAGCGCGUCUGUAAAGCGUCUCAGUCUGAAUUUCUAGUCGGCAGAUCCAGAGCAACUGAGCGCGGACCCUGGUGCUGGCAUGGACACGUGGAAGGCACCUCCAAGACAGCCUUGUUCUCUCGCGUUUCCAUUGGUGAGCCUCAGAGUUCCAGCAGUAAGUUCUCCUGGAUCCGAAGCUCCUAUUUUCAGUUGAUGUUCAGACGAGAUUUUUUUUCUCAAAGAUUGGCACUUGAGCUAACAUCUGUUGCCAAUCUUCUUUUUUUCCUUCUUCUUCUUCUCCCCAGAGUCCCCCAGUACAUAGUUGUAUACUCUAGUUAUAGGUCCUUCUGGUUGUGGCAUGUGGGACGCCACCUCAGCAUGGCCUGAUGAGCUGUGCCAUGUCCGUGCCCAGGAUCCAAACUGGCGAAACCCUGGGCUGCUGUAGCAGAGUGUGCAAACUUAACCACUCAGCCACAGGGACUGCCCCAAGACCAGGUUUUAUUUGGGUGGACUAACUAGUUCUGUUCUCAAUCUUUUGGAAGAAAGAAUUCCAAUCUCGCCUUAACUAGGCGGAGAAUUCAUGUUUAAGGACAUUUCUUGGUGAGUGUUAUUGGAGGUCUAGUAGGUUUUCAUUUUAUUCAAGCGGCCACAUUCUCUUACAAUUCAAAAUUCAGCUGUUCUUCAUAACCAAUGCAGACCUCGUAGUUUCUCCUAUUGUCCAAAUGAGGGUCCUCUGACGCCAAAUAUUAGAGACAUUGUUCCUCCUGACCCUUCUAGGGUUCUUUCUGGGUGUCUAGAAACCUAGCAGAAGUGUCAGAACUCUGUCCAUGAGGUGCACUGGUCUCACAGAGCCUCCCAAUGAAGAACAUACACUGUUCUUGGGUCAGAAGGAGCUUCAUAAGCUUAUCCAGAAGGAAAACAUAAAGGAUUGGUCAUCCUAGUACCUUGAGCAACCUGACACCACUUGGUGCUCAGGAAUCUGUGAGACAUGUGAAAGAGAGACAACGGCCCAUUGGUGAUACCCUGGGAAGUGGCCCUCACAGGCAGCACAUACCUGACCCAAGACAUAGACCCUCCUGCCUUGGUCAUCUGAGAACAGCCCUCUCUAAUUAUGGGGAACAAUUGUUCUAGAACAACCAUAAAUAUUCAACUUCCUUUGGUGAGCCCAAUUGGAUUUAUGUUUAAAGCAUAUGGUCCCUCUGGUAAAUUUUUACCUCAAUGGACCCCUUUUACCCAAGCAUGAUUUAAAACUUUCUUGGUCCCAAUGGGCUCUUUUGAAAUACCUAAAUUAGUUCAUUUGCAUGCAUGGUUAGAAAAUAAGAGAUCUAAAACUAAGAAAGUGGAAAUGGGUGAACUUCUGAGAUAAUUUGGAAUUGUAAUGGCCGCCCUGGGAAGCUUUGUUUCAGAUCCAUCCACCUUAAGGGUCCCCCUUAAAAGAGAGGAUUCCAACCCCCUCAGAGACAAUGGAAUGUGUGCUUCGGUGCUAUGCAGGAGUUUCCAAAAGACAAACGUGCUUCAACACAGCUCUUAAAAGGAUCCUCACAGCAGGCAAAAAAAAACCCCAAAACUUUAGUAAAAACCUUUGGCCACCUGGGCGGGUAACCUUAAUUUAGUCCCUCUGCCAGAAACACAAUUUGGAUCCAACUCUUCUUCUCAGUUUUGUAUCUGAGACGUGGCUAACAUCUUUAAAGAUCUCUGUGUGUCUAUGUGUGUGUCUAUGUGUGUAUGUCUGUCUCGCUCUAUAUAUGAUAUUUUUCUACCUUUGGGUGAUAUUGCCAAAAUUAAACAUUUAUAUAAAUUAAGAAUUCCUAAAACACUCAGAAAUAUAGAAACUAAACCAAAAUGUUUUUCAAGUUCAAGUGAUCUGAGGUAAUCUGUGAUAAAAAAUUGUUCCAGUUUGUUGGUUUAAUAAGAACAGACAUGUCCUCAGAGUCAUCAGUAUUGAAUGUAAAGCAAACACACAACUUUUCUCCCUGGGUCCACUGGCUGCUUGGCUCCUGCUGUUUCUGUUGCAGAAUUUGUCUGCAGGGGGAAUGACUUGGGGUGAUGGUUAACUGUUUACUGUCUAAUCCAAACAUAGUUGUUAAAAACGAGUAUUGAAAGAAAUGCAGGGGCUGGCCCCGUGGGCGAGUGGUUAAGUUCACGGGCUCUGCUGCAGGCAGCCCAGUGUUUCGUUGGUUCAAAUCCUGGGUGCAGACAUGGCACUGCUCAUCAAACCAUGCUGAGGCAGCAUCCCACAUGCCACUACUAGAAGGACCCACAACGAAGAAUAUACAACUAUGUACUAGGGGACUUUGGGGAUAAAAAGGAAAAAAUAAAAUAUUUUUAAAAAAAGAAAAGAAAUGUAAA
rnacentral:lncRNA from 1 species